rnacentral:rRNA from 1 species
GACGAACGCUGGCGGCGUGCUUAAAACAUGCAAGUCGAACGGCGUGGCGAACGGGAGAGUAACACGUGGGUGACCUGCCCUGCACUUCGGGAUAAGCCUGGGUAACUGGGUCUAAUACCGGAUAGUGUGGGAUGGGCCCGGGGCCGAUUAGCUUGUUGGUGGGGUAAUGGACUACCAAGGCGGCGACGGGUAGCCGGCCUGAGCGGGUGGACGGCCACAUGGGGACUGAGGUACGGCCCAGACUCCUACGGGAGGCAGCAGUGGGGAAUAUUGCACAAGGGGCGGAAGCCUGAUGCGGCGACGCCGCGUGGGGGAUGACGGCCUUCGGGUUGUAAACUCCUUUCACCAUCGACGCGGUAGAUGGAGAAGAAGCACCGGCUAACUACGUGCCAGCCGCCGCGGUAAUUC